AAUUUGGAAAACUCAGCAGUGGCCACCGGACUGGAAAAGGCCAUGGCUCUCAGCUUGAGGGGAUCUGAGAUUCCUCACCAAGGAUUGAACCCCAGGUCUCGUGCAUUGAGAGCGUGGAGGCUUAACCACUGGACCACCAGGGAGGUCCCCUGUUAACUUAAAUUUGAUGCUAGCUAAAAAAGCCUGUUUGUGGCCUAUCAACCUACAUUGUACAUCUGCUUUAAUUAUUAAAGAAGAGGAUACUGACCAGAAGUCAAGGAUGUCCAUGUCCAAAAUAAAGAUUAAAGUCCUUCCCGGGAUGCCAGCGCUGGUCCUCCUUUGAUAAUAAGACUCACUUCACAGGUGCCAAGGUCAUACUGACUUGCCUCAAACGUGCUGGUCUGUUCUGAGACCUUGAAGAAAUGUCUCCCUGAAUUGUUUAACAUUCUUUGUUCUGACAAGAUACAAAACUGCUGAAAACCCUGCUUCUUUGGAACAGUUUCACAGAGUAACCUGGGAAGCAGGCUUCUGGGCUAGCCCUCAGUCUGGCUCGAAUAAAACUCUUUUCUUAA